rnacentral:rRNA from 1 species
GACAGAGGCCUCAAGCGUUAGGCGGAAUCACUGGGCUUAAAGCGUGUGUAGGCGGAUCGUUAAGUGUCUUGUGAAAUCCCACGGCUCACCCGUGGAACUGCUGGGCAUACUGGCGAUCUUGGGCCAACUAGGGGCAGCCGGAACAAGCGGUGGAGCGGUGAAAUGCGUAGAUAUCGUUGGAACGCCAAGUGGUGAAAACAAGUAGCUGGGGAUGUGCCGACGCUGAGACACGAAAGCCAGGGGAGCGAACGGG